rnacentral:rRNA from 1 species
GAUGAACGCUGGCGGCGUGCCUAAUACAUGCAAGUCGAGCGAACGGACGAGGAGCUUGCUUCUCUGAUGUUAGCGGCGGACGGGUGAGUAACACGUGGAUAACCUACCUAUAAGACUGGGAUAACGUCGGGAAACCGGAGCUAAUACCGGAUAAUAGUUUGAACCGCAUGGUUCAACAGUGGAAGACGGUCUUGCUGUCACUUAUAGAUGGAUCCGCGCUGCAUUAGCUAGUUGGUAAGGUAACGGCUUACCAAGGCAACGAUGCGUAGCCGACCUGAGAGGGUGAUCGGCCACACUGGAACUGAGACACGGUCCAGACUCCUACGGGAGGCAGCAGUAGGGAAUCUUCCGCAAUGGGCGAAAGCCUGACGGAGCAACGCCGCGUGAGUGAAGAAGGUCUUCGGAUCGUAAAACUCUGUUAUUAGGGAAGAACAUAUGUGUAAGUAACUGUGCACAUCUUGACGGUACCUAAUCAGAAAGCCACGGCUAACUACGUG